GGCGGGGUAGCUCAGUUGGUUAGAGCACAGGACUCAUAAGCCUGGGGUCGGCGGUUCGAAUCCGCCCCCCGCUACCA
rnacentral:tRNA from 3 species